rnacentral:rRNA from 1 species
UACGGAGGGUGCGAGCGUUGUCCGGAAUCACUGGGCGUAAAGGGCGCGUAGGUGGCGCGAGGAGUCUGUGGUGAAAGCCCGAGGCUCAACUUCGGGUCGGCCGCGGAUACUCUCGUGCUGGAGGGUGGUAGAGGCCAAUGGAAUUCCGGGUGUAGCGGUGGAAUGCGUAGAGAUCCGGAAGAACACCGGUGGCGAAGGCGGUUGGCUGGGCCACACCUGGACACUGAGGCGCGACAGCGUGGGGAGCAAACAGG